rnacentral:rRNA from 1 species
GGAGGAAAAGAAACUAACAAGGAUUCCCCUAGUAGCGGCGAGCGAAGCGGGAAGAGCUCAAAUUUAUAAUCUGGCACCUUCGGUGUCCGAGUUGUAAUCUCUAGAAAUGUUUUCCGCGUUGGACCGCACACAAGUCUGUUGGAAUACAGCGGCAUAGUGGUGAGACCCCCGUAUAUGGUGCGGACGCCCAGCGCUUUGUGAUACAUUUUCGAAGAGUCGAGUUGUUUGGGAAUGCAGCUCAAAUUGGGUGGUAAAUUCCAUCUAAAGCUAAAUAUUGGCGAGAGACCGAUAGCGAACAAGUACCGUGAGGGAAAGAUGAAAAGCACUUUGGAAAGAGAGUUAACAGUACGUGAAAUUGUUGGAAGGGAAACGCUUGAAGUCAGACUUGCUUGCCGAGCAAUCGGUUUGCAGGCCAGCAUCAGUUUUCCGGGAUGGAUAAUGGUAGAGAGAAGGUAGCAGUUUCGGCUGUGUUAUAGCUCUCUGCUGGAUACAUCUUGGGGGACUGAGGAACGCAGUGUGCCUUUGGCGGGGGUUUCGACCUCUUCACACUUAGGAUGCUGGUGGAAUGGCUUUAAACGACCCGUCUU